CCUACGGGUGGCAGCAGUAGGGAAUAUUGCUCAAUGGGGGAAACCCUGAAGCAGCAACGCCGCGUGAAGGAUGACGGAUUUCGGUGUGUAAAACUCUUUUGAUAGGGAAGAAAAUGACGGUACCUAACGAAUAAGCACCGGCUAACUACGUGCCAGCAGCCGCGGUAAUACGUAGGCAGCAAGCGUUAUCCGGAUUUACUGGGUGUAAAGGGGGCGUAGGCGGGGUUGCAGGUCAGAUGUGAAAGCCUGGGGCUCAACCGUAGAACUGCAGUUGAAACUGUUAGACUGGAGUUCAGGAGAGGUAGGCGGAAUUCUUGGUGUAGCGGUGAAAUGCGUAGAGAUCACGAGGAACACCAAUUGCGAAGGCGGCUUACUGGACUGUAACUGACGCUGAGGCUCGAAAGUGUGGGGAGCAAACAGGAUUAGAUACCCGAGUAGUC
rnacentral:rRNA from 1 species